rnacentral:lncRNA from 1 species
CUUUAAUAACAGUCCAAAAACUCUCUUAUUUCAGUAAUAUGAUGUUUCUUUGUACAUCAAAUAACAUACUCUGAUAAUGAAUGUGUUCGGAAUACUCAAUACAUUGUCAACAUCUUGAUUCUUGAUUUCUUGAUUGCCGAAUGUGGAAUAAAUUGACCACUUCGAUGAUCCAUGAAACUGAAAAGUCUUGAAUAAGAUCAUCCGUUAAUCUUCAAUUUCUUGGAUGUCAUCAAAAAAGUUGUGCAACGGCAUAAUGUCAAUGUAUGGUAAAUCAAGAUCGAGAAUAUCUCUAGGAAUGACAUAUUCGGAGAGUGGACGUGAACUCCAACGAUUUCGUGAAGUCAAUUCUUGAUUUUGUUUUGAAUCAUCCAUCUUUGCCUUACUCGAAGUUUCAGUAUUUGUAACGAUAUACUUUAAACUUACUAUCUUGCAUCUCUUCGUUCUUGACUUUCUUGGGAUUGGCUGAAACAGAUCAUCGUUUGAAGAAUGAACAACUUUAUUUUUCUGAUUCUUGGGAGAUCUCUGAGUGGAC